rnacentral:rRNA from 1 species
CGCGGCCUAUCAGCUUGUUGGUGGAGUAAUGGCCUACCAAGGCGACGACGGGUAGCCGGCCUGAGAGGGUGACCGGCCACACUGGGACUGAGACACGGCCCAGACUCCUACGGGAGGCAGCAGUGGGGAAUAUUGCGCAAUGGGCGGAAGCCUGACGCAGCGACGCCGCGUGGGGGAUGACGGCCUUCGGGUUGUAAACCUCUUUCAGCAGGGACGAAGCCGUAAGGUGACGGUACCUGCAGAAGAAGCACCGGCCAACUACGUGCCAGCAGCCGCGGUAAUACGUAGGGUGCAAGCGUUGUCCGGAAUUAUUGGGCGUAAAGAGCUCGUAGGCGGUCUGUCGCGUCGGCUGUGAAAACUCGGGGCUCAACCCCGAGCCUGCAGUCGAUACGGGCAGACUAGAGUGCUGUAGGGGAGACUGGAAUUCCUGGUGUAGCGGUGAAAUGCGCAGAUAUCAGGAGGAACACCGGUGGCGAAGGCGGGUCUCUGGGCAGUAACUGACGCUGAGGAGCGAAAGCGUGGGGAGCAAACAGGACUAGAUACCCUGGUAGUCCACGCCGUAAACGGUGGGUGCUAGGUGUGAGCGGUAUUCCACGCCGUUCGUGCCGCAGCUAACGCAUUAAGCACCCCGCCUGGGGAGUACGG